rnacentral:lncRNA from 1 species
AAGCUAAAAUAAACUGUAAGAAAAACAUCUCAAGUCUCCAUCUUCCUUUAUGAACACUAUAAACAAAGCAAGUCAGACAAAUCUUACUGGGCAUGUCUUCCCAACCUCUUCCAUCACUUCCCUAUCGGGUUGUAUGUUUUUACUUGUACUUUUCCGGUGUAAUGAUAGUAUGUUGACCCAAAGAAAAAGCCUUUAAGAACUUAUUGGGCUCUUUGUCAAAACUAAUUAAUUGGGCUCACAAUCGAAAGUCAUGGAAUAUAGAUAUAGUCCAAAGACUUUCCGACAGCUUUCUAAUCAAACGUGAAACGCCCAUCAAUUGAAAUUUACUAGUAAUAAUAAAUCAUCAGUUAGGUUACCCUUCUUAUUAUGUGCCAAAUUCAAUACAAUAUAAUUAUUUGAAUGAAAAUGUAUUAAUGUUAUUAAUCUA